rnacentral:rRNA from 1 species
UAGGGAAUCUUCGGCAAUGGACGAAAGUCUGACCGAGCAACGCCGCGUGAGUGAAGAAGGUUUUCGGAUCGUAAAACUCUGUUGUUAGAGAAGAACAAGGACGUUAGUAACUGAACGUCCCCUGACGGUAUCUAACCAGAAAGCCACGGCUAACUACGUGCCAGCAGCCGCGGUAAUACGUAGGUGGCAAGCGUUGUCCGGAUUUAUUGGGCGUAAAGCGAGCGCAGGCGGUUUCUUAAGUCUGAUGUGAAAGCCCCCGGCUCAACCGGGGAGGGUCAUUGGAAACUGGGAGACUGGAGUGCAGAAGAGGAGAGUGGAAUUCCAUGUGUAGCGGUGAAAUGCGCAGAUAUAUGGAGGAACACCAGUGGCGAAGGCGGCUCUCUGGUCUGUAACUGACGCUGAGGCUCGAAAGCGUGGGGAGCAAACAGG